rnacentral:rRNA from 1 species
AUCCAGACUCCUACGGGAGGCAGCAGUGGGGAAUAUUGCACAAUGGGGGAAACCCUGAUGCAGCGACGCCGCGUGAGUGAAGAAGUAUUUCGGUAUGUAAAGCUCUAUCAGCAGGGAAGAAAAUGACGGUACCUGAUUAAGAAGCCCCGGCUAACUACGUGCCAGCAGCCGCGGUAAUACGUAGGGGGCAAGCGUUAUCCGGAUUUACUGGGUGUAAAGGGAGCGUAGACGGCAGCGCAAGUCUGAAGUGAAAUGCCGGGGCUCAACCCCGGGACUGCUUUGGAAACUGUGUUGCUGGAGUGCUGGAGAGGCAAGCGGAAUUUCUAGUGUAGCGGUGAAAUGCGUAGAUAUUAGGAAGAACACCAGUGGCGAAGGCGGCUUGCUGGACAGUAACUGACGUUGAGGCUCGAAAGCGUGGGGAGCAAACAGGAUUAGAUACCCGAGUAC